CUCACCUUCACGUAGUCAACCUGCCCUGGAGACAUGGAAAACCCCUGGAAACUGGGAUUAAUCCGUGAUAGGUCAUCUCAUCUGGAAGGAGAGAUGGCUUAAAGGGAUGCGAGAGCUUCUUUUUCGUAUCCGCUCCAGGAUGGGACUGCGACCGAUCAGGCUGUUGGCGGGGUAAUGGCCCACCAAACCUGUAACCGGUACGGGCCUUGAGAGAGGGGGCCCGGAGAUGGACACUGAGAGAAGGGUCCAGGUCCUACGGGGCGCAGCAGGCGCGAAACCUUCGCAAUGUGCGAAAGCAUGACGAGGUUAAUCCGAGUGGUCCCCGCUGAGGGGAUCUUUUGUCGACUGUAAAAAGGUCGGUGAAUAAGGGGAGGGCAAGUCUGGUGUUAGCCGCCGCGGUAAUACCAGCUCCUCGAGUGGUCGGGGCGAUUAUUGGGCCUAAAGCAUCCGUAGCCCGUUCUGUAGGUCUUCUGUUAAAUCCAGCGGCUUAACCGUUGGUAGGCAGAGGAUACCGCAGGACUAGGAGGCGGGAGAGGUGGGCGGUACUCCACGUGUAGGGGUAAAAUCCUUUGAUCCGUGGAAGA
rnacentral:rRNA from 1 species